rnacentral:pre_miRNA from 1 species
GGAAGAAAGGAUAGCAGAGGAAACUGAGACAGAUUGUUUCCUCUGCUGUUCUUUCUUCCUCAAUCUGUCUCAGUUUCCUCUGCUGUUCUUUCUUCCUCA